rnacentral:lncRNA from 1 species
AGGAUGAGGGUUUAAGUAAUGAGCUUGGUUGCUGCCAGAUACUGAAUUGUAAUCUUUGCUUAACACGUUUUUGCUUUGAUUACUUUUAGGCUCUAAUGGAUUUUCACUAAGAAGAUAAAACUUCAAAUCACGGUCAUUGCUUAACUCAAAUGGAGGAGCUUCGUGUUCCACUUUUAUCUCAUAUAUGCAUCUUAUCAUUACGUCGAACUUUGAAG